ensembl:lncRNA
AUAACACUGUGACCUGACCCAUUAUCAGAAGCAGACAACGUUUCCUCAGAACUCCUUUUGUGCUGGAGUUAAGGAUAGCCCGGUGCAACUCUCUCGCUCUCAGAUAAAAGCCCCAACGAUUCGUCUUCUUCUUUCAUAUCCUCCAACAUAUCGUCUGGGCUUCUGUCACAGCGUGGGUUGAAGCUGCACGUUCUCACGGUUUCCUUUAUUUUCGCCACCCAGCAUACUUAUGGGGCUGGACUUCUGUAAGCCCUGCGGGAACGGUUUCCAAGCGGAGAGAGAUCCAGGACUGACCGGUGGCGACUGCCCCUGUACGACUGCCAACUGUGGGACCUGCGGGGACCGCUGCUGUGACGUCUUCUGCCAGGUGUGCGUGGGGGUGUGUUGCGGCCUGUGCUCGGGGGACUGUAGCUACACAUUCUGCCACCUCUGUCUGGUUGUCACGCAGGACCUAGUCAAAGUGAUCUCUGCCACAACCCCGCCGUCGGACAAGGAAGGCAAGUCGGACCGGAUGGACUGUUGUAGAAUCGUGUUAUAGCCUCUUUGUGCUGUUUCAAUGCAUAGAGAUUUGUUGAUGUACGUAUGUUUAUAGCAGCAAACACUUGUUUUAACUUUUUUUUUUUAUCAUAGGAUAUGCCAAAUCCAAAAAAGCAUGGCUAAAAAUACCUCAAGCAGACGCUCAAGAAAUCAUUGACGCACAAGCCAAGGUUGUGCGACAUCUGUAGCAGGUAUACUUGUCAUUUUUUUUCAACGGCAGUGCGCACGCUGUGUACUGAGUUGUGCUUGUUCCCUGCAAUGUCUAGAAUUAAAUACUGUUUUGGUCAAAGCUGGGUUGUUUCAGACGAUUGUGUUGCAUGUUCCCUCUUGGGAUGCGACACAAGUAAACAAGUAUUUUUUAUCAUUUCUGCCAUUAAUCCACAAUGACCCCCAAAGCUGUCUGUGGAAAUGGUCCAGUGAUUGCUAUUGUGUGACACCAAGUGUGUUAUAAGUGAUAAGAGCAUCUUUAAGCUCUCAGCCCGGAUGUAGUUACUAGAAAUCUCCAGAUGAAACAAUAACAAGUCCUCCUCACAACAAAGCAUGGGGCGGGGAGAACAAGGACAGGGAGCGUGUUCUCAUCAACACUUCACAACGCUUCAUCAACAAAACACGACAGCUCAAGAUCCUUGCCUCAUUCAGAAAGUACUAAAGACUUAAUGCUGCGCCGUCGUUCAGGGUUGUGUCAAUGUGCCCGGGUACGUGCCCAUCUAGAGGAACCCAAAGGCCAGCUUGUUUGGUUGCCUAUACUUUGGAGAAGUGGCAGAUACCGAUCAAAGAGGGUGUGUCAUUGUGGCAGUGGAUCAAAUAAACCUUAUGUAACCUUGUUGUUGUUGCCCCACGAAGGAGUCUAGGAAUGCAUGAAUAACUAUCAACCGAAGGAGGCUCAUGGGAGCUGGAGGUUCAGCGUCAGGGCAGCUUGUGGGGCUGUGGUCACAUGGAGAGCCAUGUGAAGGGAGAGGGAGGGAGCGUGGAGAAUCCGGCUUUCUGAGGACUGGGUCACACCCCACAAACUGGUGCUGUUUGAACUUUAUGGGGGUGAGGGAGGAACAGUUAGAGGGAGACUUUCGUCAUGGUUCAAAGAGGGAGAUAUUUAGCGUUGGUUUCGUUCGUUUUUGUGGUUGGUUUACUUAAAGGUGACCUUUCUUGUCCUCGGGUCCUUAUGUCCAACGCAGCAUGUGGUUUGUUGCCUGACUAGAUGGAGACUGACGCUUUCCUUGUUUGUUGCCGUGUGCACUCUGUGGACCACAAAAAUACCACAACAGUAAACAUCAUGAUACCUUUCAUUCCUCAUGACAUUGUCUCAUCACCAUCAUCAUUCCUAGUGUUAUUAUUUUUAUUUGUUUUAUUCCGCUAGGGGUCUAUAAUCAAUUCCAUCGUGUGUUCAGAAGUGCGUGGCGCAGCGGUUGUCAAGGUGUUGUGGGGGGGAGAUAAGAGGCACCGGCCCCCCGACAGGAGGCAUGACCAAUCUGACAGCUGCUGGAAGCUCUGUGGUGCGUGGACCGGGGACUGUUUGAUCAGCCUGGAGUGUGGCCCCGUCCCGGCGGGGCAUCUGCCUACGCCUUCACCACGGGCGCCGAUUGGGCGUCGUGCAUGCGUGCUAAGAGUGAAGAUAGUGGCGCCCGGCCCAACUCCUGCCAUCCUGCAGCUCAUCAGCAGAACUCCACCAGAGCCACGCCAGGCGGUGCCGGCUGCGGCACCACCCAUCGCACCACCCGCUCCCGUUCGGUUUCAUGUUCAUCCAAAGGCUGGAUAAGGACACCUAAAAAAGACUGUUGGCUACAGCGAGGUUGUUCUACCCAGCUCCCGACGAAGGAGGCCAGGAUUGUGAGGGGGGCUAUGUCCCGUUUAUGAUGCACUGUGUUCGUUUCUAUGUGUUUUUCUUGUGUUGCCCUCUGGGAAGUGGUGAUGCCUAUUUAUACACAUUGAUGAUGUGCUGGUUAUAUUUCUCGAGGCAAAGCAAACAUUUGGUGUCACGUUGGGUUAUACUUAACAAAUAUAUGAUCUGAUUUAGCUUCAUUAUCUGAAGACUGUUGAGCAAACAAACGCACAGCAGUCCAUAGACAAAUAAUUCCUCGUUUUGGAACAGACCGUGUCUUGAGUCAUCACUCACAAGUUUAUCAUUUCAACAGCGUGUGCACUCAUUUUUAAUAACGAUAUUGAGUGUGGAUGCAUCCAUCUUUGUACAUUAAAUCUAACUGAAACGUGCACCCCUCUCUCAUAUAGUUGGUUCGAAAUUGCCUAGUGACCUAGUUUGCUCUGCAAAUAAUCACUCCUUUUUUAUGUCAAGUGUGCAGGUCUCCAGUUGUGUUGUAUAUAUUCCUUCAUAAGUACAGAAUCCCAAUGGUUAUGUAUAUGUCAAUAAAGUCAUUAUUUUUUGUAUUCAAAAUUUUCUUCUGUUAUUGUGUUAUGGCUCUGUAAUAUAACUUGUGACUUGUACAUCAGAAGGCAUCAUAGGAUCUUUUGUUGCAGACUCAAUAGACAGUAGUUGGAGUAUUGUAAAUUCCUAAAUCAACGUAAA